rnacentral:rRNA from 1 species
AUACGGAGGGUGCAAGCGUUAAUCGGAAUUACUGGGCGUAAAGCGCGCGUAGGUGGCUUGAUAAGCCGGUUGUGAAAGCCCCGGGCUCAACCUGGGAACUGCAUCCGGAACUGUUAGGCUAGAGUGCAGGAGAGGAAGGUAGAAUUCCCGGUGUAGCGGUGAAAUGCGUAGAGAUCGGGAGGAAUACCAGUGGCGAAGGCGGCCUUCUGGACUGACACUGACACUGAGGUGCGAAAGCGUGGGUAGCAAACAGGAUUAGAUACCCUGGUAGUCCACGCCGUAAACGAUGUCGACUAGCCGUUGGGAGCCUUGAGUUCUUAGUGGCGCAGCUAACGCAAUAAGUCGACCGCCUGGGGAGUACGGCCGCAAGGUUAAA